AUUGAACGCUGGCGGAAUGCCUUACACAUGCAAGUCGAACGGCAGCACGGGAGCAAUCCUGGUGGCGAGUGGCGAACGGGUGAGUAAUACAUCGGAACGUGCCCAAUCGUGGGGGAUAACGUAGCGAAAGCUACGCUAAUACCGCAUACGAUCUACGGAUGAAAGCGGGGGAUCGCAAGACCUCGCGCGAAUGGAGCGGCCGAUGGCAGAUUAGGUAGUUGGGGGGUAAAGGCUCACCAAGCCUGCGAUCUGUAGCUGGUCUGAGAGGACGACCAGCCACACUGGGACUGAGACACGGCCCAGACUCCUACGGGAGGCAGCAGUGGGGAAUUUUGGACAAUGGGCGCAAGCCUGAUCCAGCCAUUCCGCGUGCAGGAUGAAG
rnacentral:rRNA from 1 species